rnacentral:rRNA from 1 species
UGGGGAAUCUUGCACAAUGGGCGAAAGCCUGAUGCAGCGACGCCGCGUGAGCGAUGAAGCCCUUCGGGGUGUAAAGCUCUUUCGACGGGAACGAUAAUGACGGUACCCGGAGAAGAAGCUGCGGCUAACUACGUGCCAGCAGCCGCGGUAAUACGUAGGCAGCGAGCGUUGUUCGGAAUUACUGGGCGUAAAGAGUGUGUAGGCGGUGCUCCCAGUCUGUUGUGAAAUCUCCCGGCUUAACUGGGAGGGUGCAGCGGAAACUAGAAUGCUAGAGGGUGGGAGAGGUAAGCGGAAUUCCUGGUGUAGCGGUGAAAUGCGUAGAUAUCAGGAGGAACACCUGUGGUGUAGACAGCUUACUGGACCACUUCUGACGCUGAGACACGAAAGCGUGGGUAGCAAACA